AAGGGUGUAGCUCAAUGGUAGAGCAUGAUUAGCAAGCACAAAGUUCUGGGUUUGAUCCCCAGUACCUCCA
rnacentral:tRNA from 1 species